CUCCUCCCCAGCAGCCGGCACCCGCCUGGCCCAACAGUGACAGAGCAGGGCGCGCAGCCGCUGAGUGCUCUGGAGUCCCUGCCCCGAGGUGCCACGCCCACGUCGGCCUCACCCGGGCAGGCAUGGGGCGGUCGGGCUUAGCGCCGCACCCCGCCGGCCAGAGCCACCGUCUCUCCAGACGCGGCCCCAGCGCCCACUGGGGAUGGCAAAGACGACAUCCGGUGCGCCGAGGCUGCUCACAAAAUCUUCCCACACAGGUUGAGAGAGGAGGGGAUCCAAUUGCCUGUGAGGAGGACACGGCUCCUGGGUGGACCCUGCAGAUUGUGAAGUUCAAGUCACAGCUCCUGGGAAGGUCUCUGUGUGUAAAGAUCGUGGGGGUGAGACAGAUUCAGGGACCACACUCUGCUCUGCUCUGUACCUCUGAGUGUCGAUCCAGCUGCCUUGUGACCAGGACACUUAGAAGAAGCAUGGACCCUGCAAGAGGGCAGGUUUGGAGAGUGAGAUGAGCACGCUUGAGGGAUUAACGUGUAACUUGAACCACUGCCUCGCAAACUACGUGAGGGCGUGCAGAGACAGGGUAUCACCAGACUCCUGGGACCUCCGCCUCCCGGGAUGGUCUCCAUCUCCUGACCUCGUGAUCCGCCUGCCUCUGUCUCCCAAAGUGCUGGGAUUACAGGCCUGAGCCACCGCGCCCGGCCAGAUGGGCUCAAGGACAGCUUGCCUGACUGCAGCCAUAAGGAUGAAGCCUCUUCAGGUAGAGAAGGACUCCAGGUCAUUUGGCCAAUUUAAUGCCGACAGAAGAGGCCACCAUCUGAAUGUAAUUUAUCUCCUCUUUCAUCUCCUUUCAUUCCCCUCCUCCUUUUUUUUUUUUUUUUGGGACAGAGUCUCACUCUGUUGCCCAGGCUGGAGUGCAGUGGCGUGAUCUUGGCUCACUGCAAGCUCUGCCUCCCAGGUUCACGCCAUUCUCCUGCCUCAGCCUCCUGAGUAGCUGGGACUACAGGCACCCGCCACCACGCCCAGCUAAUUUUUUGUGUUUUUAGUAGAGACGAGGUUUAGCGUGUCUAUGUGACACCCCAGGAUUUUAGCAGAUACACAAGUGAAAAACCAUGUUGCUAAAAAGUAUUUCCCAUCUUCCAAUUUUCUUAUCAUCAUCUUGGAAAUAAAAUCUGUACGUACUUGGGAAUAAAAUUUAUUGAAUUAUCAAAAAUAUGUAUGCUAAUGUAUGUGAGUCAUUAGCUAUAUCCACAUUGACAUAAAAUUUGUGAAGACUCUUCAAAAUCUCUUAAAGAUUUAUUUGGCUGGGCGCGGUGGCUCACGCCUGUAAUCCCAGCAGUUUGGGAGGCUGAGGCAGGCGGAUCAUGAGGUCAGGAGAUGGAGACCAUCCUGGCUAACACGGUGAAACCCCGUCUCUACUAAAAAUACAAAAAACUAGCUGGGCGUGGUGGCGCGCGCCUGUAGUCCCAGCUACUCGGGAGGCUGAGGCAGGAGAAUGGCGUGAACCCGGGAGGCGGAGCUCGGAGUGAGCCGAGAUCACGCCACUGCACUCCAGCCUGGGUGACAGAGCGAGGACUCUGUCUCAAAAAAAGGAAAAAUAAAAACACGAGAACGUACUGCAGGAGAAAACAGGCCUGGCCUGAGACGGCUGUGCCGGCUUUCUGAGGCCGUGAAUGGCAAGACCUCGAGACUGUCAAGAGGAGCAAGAGGAGUCGGGAUUUAGCGUCAGUGAUGAGGUGCGCCACUCACUGUGUGACUUCAGAGUGUUUCUGGGGAAAGAAAAUGAAGUCCUGUGAAGUAUGCGGAGCACCCUCAGCAGCAGCCGUGGAUCUGAACAGCCUCCCAGACACAGACGCCAUGGGUGUGAAGUGUGUCAGGAACAAGCGAAGUCACCCACAAUGGAGAGGAACACCCUAGUGUGCUAGAACUUUUGAACCACUUUUCCUCCUGUCUUGGGUCAGGCCUCAUAGCUAACCCUUUGGUGCGCGGUACUCUCUCUGGCUAUUGGAGAGAUGUGAGAAGCUUAAGAAAAGCAAAUGAGAAGACGUGGAGCAGGCAGAUGGCCGGUCCCCAUGGAAGAGUCCCCAUUGUGAGGCCUCCCUGGGGAUCUGGCGGUGGCCACAACACACUGGCCGGUGAGAUUGGUUGUGAUUGUCAUUGUUGUGGAAAAUGAUUAUCAUCUGUCCUCAAUGGUGCCAAUGCUGACUCACCUGGAGGUGGAAUGAUGGCCAUGGUGACACUGAGGAGGGAGCGUGGCAGAGGGAAUGAUGGCCGUGGUGACACUGAGGAGGGAGCGUGGCAGAGGGAAUGAUGGCCGUGGUGACACUGAGGAGGGAGCGUGGCAGAGGGAACGAUGGCCAUGGCUGACAUUGAGGAAGGAGCUGGCAGAGGGAAUGAUGGCCGUGGUGACACUGAAGAGGGAGCGUGGCAGAGGGAAUGAUGGCCAUGGUGAAACUGAGGAGGGAGCGUGGCAGAGGGAAUGAUGGCCGUGGUGAUAUUGAGGAGGGAGCGUGGCAGAGGGAACGAUGGCCAUGGUGACACUGAGGAGGGAGCGUGGCAGAGGGAACGAUGGCCAUGGUGACACUGAGGAGGGAGCGUGGCAGAGGGAACGAUGGCCAUGGUGACACUGAGGAGGGAGCGUGGCAGAGGGAACGAUGGCCAUGGUGACACUGAGGAGGGAGCGUGGCAGAGGGAACGAUGGCCAUGGCUGACAUUGAGGAGGGAGCUGGCAGAGGGAACGAUGGCCAUGGCUGAC
rnacentral:lncRNA from 1 species